UAAAGAGGUUUAGAAAGAGUUUCUACAAAACCCAGGAGAUGGUUCUGAACGAAUGGACAUGAAGUCACCGUGGAGAAGUGAUGUAGCUGAGCGUCAAGGAACAAGCACGAGCCAUCCAUCAUGGUGCCGCAGCGUGGAGCUCAGACUCUAACCUUUUGAGGGAGACUUUCCCAGACCGACCUUGGGAAGUUUUGGAACGUUCCCAAACUGCGGCCU